GACGAACGCUGGCGGCGUGCCUAAUACAUGCAAGUUGAGCGCUGAAGGUUGGUCCUUGUACCAACUGGCUGAGCAGCGAACGGGUGAGUAACGCGUGGGGAAUCUGCCUUUGAGCGGGGGACAACAUUUGGAAACGAAUGCUAAUACCGCAUAAAAACUUUAAACACAAGUUUUAAGUUUGAAAGAUGCAAUUGCAUCACUCAAAGAUGAUCCCGCGUUGUAUUAGCUAGUUGGUGAGGUAAAGGCUCACCAAGGCGAUGAUACAUAGCCGACCUGAGAGGGUGAUCGGCCACAUUGGGACUGAGACACGGCCCAAACUCCUACGGGAGGCAGCAGUAGGGAAUCUUCGGCAAUGGACGAAAGUCUGACCGAGCAACGCCGCGUGAGUGAAGAAGGUUUUCGGAUCGUAAAACUCUGUUGGUAGAGAAGAACGUUGGUGAGAGUGGAAAGCUCAUCAAGUGACGGUAACUACCCAGAAAGGGACGGCUAACUACGUG
rnacentral:rRNA from 1 species